CCUCCUGUCGUCCAACGGCCAGGACACCCGGCUGAUAACCGGGAAACGAAGGUUCAACUCCUUCCAGGAGGA
rnacentral:tRNA from 1 species